rnacentral:rRNA from 1 species
GACGAACGCUGGCGGCGUGCUUAACACAUGCAAGUCGAACGGAAAGGCCCUGCUUUUGUGGGGUGCUCGAGUGGCGAACGGGUGAGUAACACGUGAGUAACCUGCCCUUGACUUUGGGAUAACUUCAGGAAACUGGGGCUAAUACCGGAUAGGAGCUCCUGCUGCAUGGUGGGGGUUGGAAAGUUUGGGCGGUUGGGGAUGGACGCGCGGCUUAUCAGCUUGUUGGUGGGGUAGUGGCUUACCAAGGCUUUGACGGGUAGCCGGCCUGAGAGGGUGACCGGCCACAUUGGGACUGAGAUACGGACCAGACUCCUACGGGAGGCAGCAGUGGGGAAUAUUGCACAAUGGGCGGAAGCCUGAUGCAGCAACGCCGCGUGCGGGAUGACGGCCUUCGGGUUGUAAACCGCUUUCGCCGGUGACGAAGCGUGAGUGACGGUAAUGGGUAAAGAAGCACCGGCUAACUACGUG